UUGAUCCUGGCUCAGAAUCAACGCUGGCGGCGUGCCUAACACAUGCAAGUCGAACGAGAAAGCGGGGGCAACCCCGCGAGUACAGUGGCGAACGGGUGAUUAACACGUGACUAACCUGCCUUCUAGUGGGGGAUAACUCCGGGAAACCGUGGCUAAUACCGCAUAACAUCCUUGGGUGAAAUUCCUGGGGAUCAAAGCAUCAAUACGCUGGAAGAGGGGGUCGCGGCCGAUUAGCUAGUUGGCGGGGUAUUGGCCCACCAAGGCAGUGAUCGGUAGCCGGCCUGAGAGGGCGCACGGCCUCACUGGAACUGAAACACGGUCCAGACUCCUACGGGAGGCAGCAGUGGGGUAUUUUGCGCAAUGGGGGAAACCCUGACGCAGCAACGCCGCGUGGAGGAUUAAGUCCCUUGGGACGUAAACUCCUUUCGAUCGGGACGAAAGAAAUGACGUUACCGGAAGAAGAAGCCCCGGCUAACUUCGUGCCAGCAGCCGCGGUAAUUAGGGCGU
rnacentral:rRNA from 1 species